GGACUACACGGGUAUCUAAUCCUGUUUGAUCCCCUUGCUCUCGCGCCUCAGCGUCAGGAAUAACCUAGAAAACCGCCUUCGCCACCGGUGUUCUUCCACAUAUCUACGCAUUUCACCGCUACUUGUGGAAUUCCGUUUUCUCCGCCUACCCUCUAGCGUGAGAGUUUCAAAUGCUGUUCCGAGGUUGAGCCUCGGGAUUUCACAUCUGACUUCUCACUCCGCCUACGCGCCCUUUACGCCCAAUAAAUCCGAUUAAUGCUCGCACCCUCCGUAUUACCGCGGCUGCUGGCAC
rnacentral:rRNA from 1 species